rnacentral:rRNA from 1 species
AGUGAACGCUGGCGGUAGGCCUAACACAUGCAAGUCGAACGGCAGCACAGUAAGAGCUUGCUCUUACGGGUGGCGAGUGGCGGACGGGUGAGGAAUACAUCGGAAUCUACUUUUUCGUGGGGGAUAACGUAGGGAAACUUACGCUAAUACCGCAUACGACCUACGGGUGAAAGCAGGGGAUCUUCGGACCUUGCGCGAUUGAAUGAGCCGAUGUCGGAUUAGCUAGUUGGCGGGGUAAAGGCCCACCAAGGCGACGAUACGUAGCUGGUCUGAGAGGAUGAUCAGCCACACUGGAACUGAGACACGGUCCAGAGUCCUACGGGAGGCAGCAGUGGGGAAUAUUGGACAAAGGGCGCAAGCCUGAUCCAGCCAUACCGCGUGGGUGAAGAAGGCCUUCGGGUUGUAAAGCCCUUUUGUUGGGAAAGAAAAGCAGCAGGUUAAUACCCCGCUGUUCUGACGGUACCCAAAGAAUAAGCACCGGCUAACUUCGUG